AAGUCCAAGGUCGAGGGCCUGCAUCUGGUGAUGGCCUUCUUACUGGUGGGGACUCUGAAGCAUCCUGAGGUAGGCAGGGCAUCACAUGGUUGGAGCAGAAGGAACAGCCAGGGAAAUGCAUCCAUUUAACCUUCCAGACUCUGGAGUCCACCUUCUUUGUUUUAAGUAAAUUUUAGAUGCAGAGGCCAUGAACUCAGCUUAUAAUCAGCCUUAUUGCUCAUUCACUUAUUCCAUAUUCAAGAUAUUUAAUGCUCAUAUUGCUCUGACAACAUGCCAAGGAUCUUCAGCUGACACCUCCCUGCAUACUCUACUGGGUGAUAUCUCUUCUGAUUUGUUUUUGUGACUGUUCUGAUUAGUUGGACUCAUGCUAUACAGGUUAUUCAAUAUUUUGAAUAACAUCCUUGACUUAUAAAAUUGUAAUGGGAUAAUAGUUUAUAGUAUCAACCAAGGUUUGUUUGUUUGUUUUCUUUUUCCCUCAAGAAUCUCAUUAUAUUCCUGAUACUUCCUCAAUCAAUGUGUAAGAGCAUUCCAGCCUAUGGUAUUAGUCAGGAUAGGCCAGACUGUGCUGCAAUAAUAAACAGCUGCAAAAAUCUCAAUGGUUAAACACACAAUAGUUUAUUUCUCAUUCAUGCUACAUGUUCAUUGUGGGUCAGUGAAGGACUUUGCGCCAUAUAGUCACUCAGGACUCAGGCUAAAGCAGGUGCCGUCACCUUGUAGCUGUAUCAUUUGAGUGCAUGUCCUCCUUGAUAGGCACAGCAGAAGAAAGCACAUAAAAUUGUACAUGGAUGUAGGUAUGUGGCAGUCAUUAU
rnacentral:lncRNA from 1 species